CAGUAGCCGCGGGAAUACGUAGGGUGCGAGCGUUAAUCGGAAUUACUGGGCGUAAAGCGUGCGCAGGCGGUUCGUUAAGACAGAUGUGAAAUCCCCGGGCUUAACCUGGGAACUGCAUUUGUGACUGGCGAGCUAGAGUAUGGCAGAGGGGGGUAGAAUUCCACGUGUAGCAGUGAAAUGCGUAGAGAUGUGGAGGAAUACCGAUGGCGAAGGCAGCCCCCUGGGCCAAUACUGACGCUCAUGCACGAAAGCGUGGGGAGCAAACAGGAUUAGAGACCCCUGUAGUCCCUGUCUCUUAUCC
rnacentral:rRNA from 1 species